GAUGAAGAACGCAGCGAAAUGCGAAAAGUAAUGUGAAUUGCAGAAUUCAGUGAACCAUCGAAUCUUUGAACGCACAUUGCGCCCGCUGGAACUCCGGCGGGCACGCCUGUCCGAGCGUCAUUUCAACCCUCAGGCCCCCCUUCGCGGGCGGGCCUGGUGUUGGGGCCCGGCCGCUACCCUGCGGCCGUCCCCUAAAUCCAGUGGCGGCCUCGCCGUGAUCCCUUGCGUAGUAAUGCACCUCGCACCGGAGAGCGCCGUGGCCACGCCGUAAAACCCCCAAUUUUCAAUGGUUGACCUCGGAUCAGGUGGGAAUACCCGCUGAACUUAAGCAUAUCAAUAAGGGAGGA
rnacentral:misc_RNA from 1 species